CUACCUCGGGAACUGAGGAUAAUUCCGGAUAUCUCUUCUUUGCUGGAAUCGCUUGAAGAGACAAAGAAUUUCGCCUGAGGAUGGGUCUGCGGCCUAUCAGGUUGUAGGGGGUGUAAUGUACCCUCUAGCCGACAACGGGUACGGGUUGUGAGAGCAAGAGCCCGGAGAUGGAUUCUGAGACAUGAAUCCAGGCCCUACGGGGCGCAGCAGGCGCGAAAACUUUACAAUGCAGGAAACUGUGAUAAGGAGACACCGAGUGCUCGCAUCAAAUGCGGGCUGUCCACAUACCUAAAUCGUAUGUGUUAGCAAGGGCCGGGCAAGACCGGUGCCAGCCGCCGCGGUAAUACCGGUGGCCCGAGUGGUAGCCGCUUUUAUUGGGUCUAAAGGGUCCGUAGCCGGUUCGGUCAGUCCAUUGGGAAAUCCGGAUGCUCAACAUCCGGGCUUCCAGUGGAUACUGCCGGACUUGGGAUCGGGGGAGGUAAGAGGUACUACAGGGGUAGGAGUGAAAUCUUGUAAUCCUUGUGGGACCACCUGUGGCGAAGGCGUCUUACCAAAACGAGUCCGACGGUGAGGGACGAAAGCUGGGGGCACGAACCGGAUUAGAUACCCGGGUAGUCCCAGCCGUAAACGAUGCUCGCUAGGUGUCAGGCAUGGCGUGACUGUGUCUGGUGCCGAAGGGAAGCCGUGAAGCGAGCCACCUGGGAAGUACGGCCGCAAGGCUGAAACUUAAAGGAAUUGGCGGGGGAGCACAACAACGGGUGGAGCCUGCGGUUUAAUUGGACUCAACGCCGGAAAACUCACCAGGGGAGACAGCAAUAUGUAGGUCAAGCUGAAGACUUUACCUGAAUCGCUGAGAGGAGGUGCAUGGUCGUCGCCAGUUCGUACUGUGAAGCAUCCUGUUAAGUCAGGCAACGAGCGAGACCCGUGCCCACAGUUACCAGCGGCAUCUC
rnacentral:rRNA from 1 species